rnacentral:rRNA from 1 species
GACGAACGCUGGCGGCGUGCCUAAUACAUGCAAGCAGAACGCUGAAGGAGGAGCUUGCUUCUCCGGAUGAGUUGCGAACGGGUGAGUAACGCGUAGGUAACCUGCCUGGUAGCGGGGGAUAACUAUUGGAAACGAUAGCUAAUACCGCAUAAUAGUAGAUGUUGCAUGACAUUUGCUUAAAAGGUGCAAUUGCAUCACUACCAGAUGGACCUGCGUUGUAUUAGCUAGUUGGUGGGGUAACGGCUCACCAAGGCGACGAUACAUAGCCGACCUGAGAGGGUGAUCGGCCACACUGGGACUGAGACACGGCCCAGACUCCUACGGGAGGCAGCAGUAGGGAAUCUUCGGCAAUGGACGGAAGUCUGACCGAGCAACGCCGCGUGAGUGAAGAAGGUUUUCGGAUCGUAAAGCUCUGUUGUAAGAGAAGAACGAGUGUGAGAGUGGAAAGUUCACACUGUGACGGUAUCUUACCAGAAAGGGACGGCUAACUACGUGCCAGCAGCCGCGGUAAUACGUAGGUCCCGAGCGUUGUCCGGAUUUAUUGGGCGUAAAGCGAGCGCAGGCGGUUAGAUAAGUCUGAAGUUAAAGGCUGUGGCUUAACCAUAGUACGCUUUGGAAACUGUUUAACUUGAGUGCAAGAGGGGGGAGUGGAAUUCCAUGUGUAGCGGUGAAAUGCGUAGAUAUAUGGAGGAACACCGGUGGCGAAAGCGGCUCUCUGGCUUGUAACUGACGCUGAGGCUCGAAAGCGUGGGGAGCAAACAGG